rnacentral:lncRNA from 1 species
AUGUAGUUGUAAGACUUUUAAAGAAAUUGACUAUUCAUAUCAUUCUGUAGUAUUUGCUGAAUGGGAUGAUGUCUCUAGAUUUCAUCAUUUUGUUCUCGUUUUACUUGGGCUCGACAUCCGCAUCAGGUAUUUAUCAACUUUUGCUUUUAAAUUGUUACAAGAUGUUGAAUUGGCUUUUUUUUAUAUACCAAAAAGUAAAAUCACAAAAAUACUGAACUCCGAGAAAAAUUCAAAACAAGUCCCUAAUCAUAUGGCAAAAUCAAAAGCUCAAACACAUCAAACGAAUGGACAACAUCUGUCAUAUUACUGACUUGGUACUGGGAUUUUCGUGUGUAGAAAAUGGUGGAUUAAACGUUUUAUAGCAUUUUUUGACUUUAGAUAGUUUUGUAAUGGUGAUUUAUUGCAUAGCAUCAAUUGAAUUACUAGCUACAUGAACCAGAGGCAUGCUACAUUGCCAGUAUCGAUCAAAAAGGUAGAUAUCGGGAGGAUAUUACCUUACCAGUAAAGUUUAGAUUAUUAGCUACUAGGUGGAUGUCACAUUGUCAGUAUUGGUGGAAUAACUAGUCAGAGCUCCAGAUAAGCUGCGUAUUUGCGUGAUCACGCAAUACAAAUAAUAAAAAAACCCAAUGCAAUUGCCCAUUGCAGGGUUCAAUAACCCAAUUAAUUCAAAGGAAAACCCAAUAAUAUGCCAAAACCAUGAGUUCUCAACUCUUUUAUUGGCUACCAUUUGCGUUAUUUACCCUUAUCUGUUUACAGUCGUCGCGUAAACUAUUUUUAUAAUAUUUAUAAUUGGAAAUUUCCUUUCGUUCUAAAAAUAGAUCCCUGCAUCAAGUAGCUGAAAUGGGUCCCUGUUAGAGUUUUCCGUUGCUCAAAGGGUACACGUGUUUUUGAAAACAUUUCGAUAUUCUCGGCGUUUAUCCAAUUAGCGUGUGUCAUGUAGUCAUAUUGUACACGUGUUUUUGAAAACAUUUCGGUCUUCUCGGCGUUUAUUAUUAGCGUGUGUCAUGUAGUCAUAUUUUUUUCGCAUUGCUCGGGAUUUAUCAUAACAUACAUUGAAUUAAAACGAAAGUGAAUGUCCGGUAAAAAUAUUGAAUAGAAGCAUGUUUUCUGCUUCUUUUGAAAAGCUGAGGAAAAGUUAUGAUGAUAACAAGACUCAGCCAGUGUUUUUAGGAAGUGUCCAUGGAACACACGGGCGUGUGUGCGUACCUUAACGAGAACAUUGCUAAUAAAAACAGGCAGGGUUUCCUCAAAAACGAAUCAGAUGGAAAAAGUGAAAGGCCAAAUCAAUUAUGACAUGAUAAAGCAUCAGAAACCAAAAGUUCUAAUAAAAGACAAAUAAACCCAGAUUUAUGAAAAUUGGAAUAAAACAAAACCGUUUAAGUAUAAUUAGAGUUUAUAUACUAUUUUUUUUUUCAUUUUAUUGUUAAUUAAUGAAUACACACACAUGCAGAAUUUAUUAUAUAAAGGUAUAAGACGAGUGCCUGUGAAUACACCUAUCCGUUUUUUUACAGUUUAUAUGAGAAAAUACAAAAUUGGCAGAAGGUUUGAAACGGAACACAAAUUAAACCUACAAUUGCUCCUCAGUGAAUAAACCAAAUAAAACAGCUAUCAAAUAACCCUAACCCUAAACCAAAUAAAACAGCUAAACAAAGAAAGAAACAUAUUUAAGAUGGAAAAAAUCUGGGGUUGCUAUUGCCUAAAUAUUCAAUAUUGUGUUGAUGAGAAACCCAAUACAUUUAAGGAGCUUGGUGGUGAAAAACCCAAUUUGAUAUUAACAUGAGGGGUGAAUUGGAAUUGAUCAUGCAAUUAAAAAACUUUUUCACCCAAUUAUAUUUGAAAAUGGUGGGUUAAAAACCCAAUUUGUGAAUUCUUAUCUGGAGCUCUGUAACUAGACAUAUGUACCAGGUGGAUGCUGCCCUUCCGAUAUCAAUUGAAUUACUAGCUACCGGUCAAAUGUAGUUCUGCCAGUUUUGAUCGCAUGACAAGCGACCGGGAAAUUUUACACUGCGAGUAUUAUUCGAAUUAAUAGCUCCCAGGGGUUUAUGUUUAUAUACCGUGUCGUUAUUAAUUGAAUUACUAGCUACCGGGCGAAUGUUACCCUGUCAGUUUUGAUCGGAUGACUAGCGAGCGGGAAAUUUUAUACUGUUAGUAUCGCUCAAAUUGGUAUAUUGCUACCAGGUAUAUGUUACUCUUGUCGUUAUCAAAUGAUAUCCUAGCUACUAGGCGAAUGUAACCCUGUCACUUUUGAUCGGAUGACUAGCGAGCGGAAAAUUUUACAAAAAUUACAAAAAUUAGUAAAAUUUUAUACCAGGUGAAUGUCACUUUGCCAAUAUCAACCGAAUUACAAAACAAAAUGGUGUUACUGUAGCAACCGGGCAAAUGUUACCCUGCCAGUAUCGGUCGAACCAGUAGAUUUCCGGGAAAGAUGUUAACCUGCCAGUAACAAUCUCAGUAUUAGCUACAAGGUGGAUGGUGCCCAUGCCUGUAUCGUUUGGAUUAAUAGCUACUGUGUAGAGUGCUACCAUGCAAGUAUCAUUCGAAUGGCAUUUUUACUUAGUCAUUGUCAAUCGAAUUGGUAGCUAGCUACCGGGCGGAUGGUCCUGGUACAUGCACUUAUUUACUCAUCUGCAUUCUGUCCCAUCAUCAAACACAUAUCAAACAAUCAAGUUUAACAAGUAGUAUAUAAAACUGGAUUAUAAGAUGAGAGAUAUAACGGUUUGAUUGACAAUGAGACAAUUAUCCGGUCUACUUCUAAGAGAAUAUCACACUCUCUGCAUGUUUAUUUUCCUGCGCUUCAUCACGGUCGAUAUAAGUAACAGAACUUACAUAUAUAUAAGAUUUAUUUCUGAUUUGAUUUAGACCUGUCCUAAAAUACAUGAACUACUUGCCAAUGGGUGUUAUGCAAUUGGCCGUUUCAGAAUUUAGAGCAUCAUGGGUAAUUUCAUUGUUCGUACCUCAAAAUGAAAAUAACGUCACGUCAUUGGUUAAAUUUCCAUUGUUUAGGACGUUUUGAUGUACACUUUUGAAAAUAAUAUUUCCCAGGAUGCAUUAGAUUCUGAAAUGGCGAAUUAACAAAAAGCCAUCAAACCGUAUGAAUUUAUUUUUUUUGCACAUGUGUAUGUUUUGUCUUAUCAUGCCUAUUGUGAAUGAGUAAAUAUUUUGAGACAUUGACUGCUAGGUAAACGUAUCUAAAAACAUUCUUUCCAUCCUCAAAUUCCCUUAUUAAAAAUCACACAUUUUUGCGUCAUAAUGAUUAUAAUUUGUGUUGUACAAGAUGUCUAAAACAUAAAUUCAUUGAUUUAAUGUAUUAAAUUCAUGUACUUUUGUCUUAAAGUACUUUAUAAUCAGUCGUAAGGUUGUUUGAGGUUAGAGUGUUAGAAUUCGAACGUCAGACAUAUACAUUUAUUUCAGGAAGUAGAAAAUAUUAUUUUCAGGGUCUUUAGAUCUCGAGUUCGGAUAUUUAUUGAUUUUAGUACGGUGACCAGACCCAAUAUUUUUUAGAUUUAAUCGUCAAACAUACUAUAUGGCUAUAUUAUAUAUCAUUGGAUUCGGAAAAAUGAGUACUUUUGAAAUAACGAUGUCGUCAAAAAGAAAUGUGGUAACAGUUUUGCAUAAAACAGGGUCAAAGAUCAAAUUUUGUUUUUAUUUUUUUUCUUUCAUAAUUUUGAAAUUUGAAGAUAUAUACAACAAUUUAGGUAAAAUUUCAGAUACAGACAUUAUUUUCAAAUCAUUAAACAAUGAAUUAUCUCGAAAAUGAAACAAAAAUGAAAUAGGAAAUCGAUUUAUUCUGGAAAUUGGCUUUUUUCAAACACUUGAUCUAUUAUGCAAAUAUUCUAAUAAAGUUACAGUAGUUACCUUACCGGCUGACAUUCAACCUCAAAUGAUAAAUAUUAUUAUUUUAACUGAAGCCUGCUAUCAUGGAUGUGUAUUUUGCAUAAGCUCAUUCAUGUAAUUCAUGAAAACUUCAAAGCACCCAAUACCACGAAAACAGUUAUAAUUCAAAAUUCCAACCAAAGAGAUCCUCACAACAGAAUUAUGCCAGGAGUAUCUUCUGGUUCAUCUGUCAAGGAACAUGAUUUGCAAUUUCUAUAUAAUUCUGACCCUUUACAGGAGUAAAGCUCGGGCAUGUAGGGUUUUGUUGUGAACAAACACAUGACUUUUUUACAGGGACAUUUUCCCUUCAAUGAAAACACAAGAUCCUGCAAGAAUUCUGCUGACAUAUGCCCAUUAAUAUACACGGGGUGUAACGAAUCAUUUAAAUUUCGCCAACCGUAUUGUAAAAUUGACGAAAUAAGGGGUUAGCAAUGUGUAAUGUGCUCCAAAAUUUUAGUUUGAAACAAAGUACAUAAAACAUGCUGUUUCAGUGCUGCCUCACAGGGAGGUAACCUGACUAAACUUGCAUCUUUACUGGUGGCAAGCUUGAAGUGCAUUGGAUAAUUACUAUGAUGGAAUGGUUUUAAAGAGAUAUUUCUGAUCAUAAAGCUUUGAAAUUAACCUCCAUGCCCAAGCAAGGGCUUCAUCUUUGUCAAUAUUACCGAAACUCUAAAAAAAAACACCGAAAUAGUCGUGUGUUUCCUUCAAAGUCUUGUAGACAGUUUGUUUACCUACUCCAAACAGAGACAGUUAUGUCGCAUCCGGUUAGUGCAUGAAGAGCAGGCAAUAGUGUACAAAUUGGUGGGGAAAGACAGACACAUAGUUAGUGAAUGGGGGAAAGUCUUCGCCAAUCCUUUACACUGCUAAUGUUCCUCACAUGCACCCACAACUCGCUCGUAUGUGUCAUAUAUUUAUAGUAGUGAACGCACAGAACAAUCACAUCUGUAUUAGAGGUCCGUAUGAUUGUUCUUCCACUAUUUCCCAUUUCUCUAAACUUGGUGUCAAAGUUUAAAACAUCGAUUAUUGACCUCCUCUUGAGUGCUUAACAAAUUACGACAGCCAUUAACAGUGUUGGUAUAAUUUGACAAUUUCGGAAUUUACAAACGUUCUGGUUAUGCAAAGCUCACAUCAGAUGGAAUCAUAGGGGAUUUGUAAAAGUUUUGUAGUCAGGAAUAAUCUGAUACAAUUUGGUGGAAGCUAUAGUCUUUGUGCGGCGUUCCCUUUCGACAGACUUUUUAGAGUUGUUCAUGACGUAUCGGCCAAAACAUCUGCUACAGUUUGCGCUAUAGAAAUUCGUUGAGAGAUAUGUUUUAAUAGUCAGCUGCAAUGUCACCGAAUGUUUUAGGUUACCUUUCUAAACAUCAAUACAUUUAACCAAUGCCUUACCAACUGUAAGUUGGGAGUGAUAGUAUAAAGGAAGGUACGGAAAGUGCUCAGGGAACUUCAGAUUCUAAUUACUUCAACAAAUAAGACUUACAUGAUUUUCUCACGGUGCCGUCAUCUUGAAAAAGGGAAAUUGGAAUGGGACCUACAGGGUGCGACAACACAUGUUCUAUGGUACAUCAUCUCUAUAUUUUGCCACAUUCAGUGCACGUCUAAAUACAAGUUAUGGAUGUAUGUGACCUAAAAGUAUUUCCCCCAUUUAAUUUAAGGUUUGUUUUUGUGGUCAUGUUUUCACCAUUUUUAGUUUUGACUUUGAUAUGGACUAUAAAAACUCCUUGAAGGACCUAAAGAAAGUAACUAGUGAUACAAUGCUUAGACAUGUUGAAUCUUCUUACAGCUGUGAGAAAGAAUCUCGAAAUCUCUUGAAGCAUGCCUUUUCAGAAGAGAUAUUAAUAAGACAUGGAGGAUGGUUCAAAUAAAAAGGAUCAGUCAUGGAUAAUUCAGAUGGUUCACAAUAGCAAUAACAUGUUCUUCGUCUCUCUUCAUUGCUGUUUGUUUUGUUUCCUCUUGUGAAUUUGCAUUAUCUGCAGCAAUUCCAGCCAUUUUCAGCGUUACACGACUAAGGGGUUCUAGGAAAUGUCUAGUAAGGGUCCAUCUAACAAGCGCAGACUUUUGAUUUGUUAUGCCUACAGUGCCACCUGAUCCCCUUGGGGCUUUUAUAACGGUCUUUUCUCUUGCCAUGUCGGUCCUUGACCGUUAAAUUGUCCAGGAGUCUGUCUUUAAGAAAAGUAGCCAUCCAUGAUCGAAUAUUCGCAGAAAGUUGAAGCAUAUCAACUAUGUAAACUGGCAUCCACCUUCAGUAAAUGGUACGGUUUGUUACAAAAAAAACAUAAGGUUACAUUUGAGAUGACGAUCGCAAGGAAGUGACCAAUUUCCCUCUCGUCCUGCUCUAACAUUUGACAGCAAAAUGUCUACUGCUUCAAGGAACACAUCCCAGUUAUUUGAAGUAAGUGAUACAGCCCUCAUUGCUUAUUUGUAUUUAUAAGAGGCUGUAUAUGUGCUUCGAAUAGCUCCGUCAUAUGAGCGUAAGGACUUGUGUUUGGCUUGAAUUGCUUAAUUCGUGCUUCUGAGAUAUUAUUAUUAGUAAAGUAGAAAAUAUCAUUAAAUGUUAAUUAAUGUACAUUUUGGGUUAAAAAAUGAUGAAAUUGAAAUGAAACGUACUCUAUUCAGGCAAAAUAUUCGUAGUGUCAUUUUUUUACAUAAACUCUUUAAUAACGGAUUAAUUUUGUUAAACUUUAUUUGAAAUCGUUAAAAUAAGGUGUAAUAACAAUUGUAAUAACAGAAAUCAUAGCCGGACGUAUUUAAAUGUAGACCUUAAAACUUUCUAAUGUUUUCGUUUUGUUAGUGAGUACUCAAAGCUCAUUUUACAAAAAUUGCACCGAACGAUUUUGACGACAGUCAAAAUGUUAAGUUUUAAUAUUUGAUUACCAUACUGUGAUUAUAGCCGUAUAGUCCGAUGACGAUUAAACUCCUUAAAUAAGCGACUUUUCUUUACUCGGUCACCGUACUAUUUUGGUACAACAAGAUUUGUCCUUAGCAGUUUUGACUUUUUUUCCCCUCGCCUUGUACAAUUGUACAUGGUAACCACAAGAAAGAACUCACAAAACCAACUUCUGUAUGUUUUUUUUAUAUUUUACCAUAUCAAAUCACGUCUCUAAAAUGAAAAAAAGCGUGGUAGGAUAGGUCAAUGAAAUAAGUCUUCGCCAGAGAAAGAUUGACGUAAAAGAUUAGCAACUAUAGGUCACCGUUAACAAUGAGCAAAACACAUACAGCAUAGCAAGAUAUAAUAAAAGGCACUAAAACGACCAAUGUAAAAAAAAACAAGAUCGAAAAUUGAUAUGAAAAAAGGAACGACCGACAAUCGCUGAAUUACAGACUCCUGACUUGGGACAAGCACUUAUACAGAAUGUGGCGGGGUUAAACAAAAUUAAUGUUCGGCGCGGUAACAUCGGACAGUAGUGUAACAGCUCAUAUGAAAUUUGUUAUAUUUUCUUCCUAGAUAUUACUGCACCAGUAAAUUGCAAAGGUUUCUGUGCACUUGAGUGCGUCCGUCAAAAUAGGGUUUACGUGAAUGUGGAGGACACUAGUGUUCGUGAAACUGUGACAAGUAUUGACCCAACAGUAUUAGUAACAACAAAAAAGGGAGCUGUGUCACAAAAUUCUGUAUGCUUUGUCAGAUCAAGACCAUUUACCCUUAUAAGGC